rnacentral:rRNA from 1 species
UACGGAGGGUGCAAGCGUUAUCCGGAUUCACUGGGUUUAAAGGGUGCGUAGGUGGCUUUGUAAGUCAGUGGUGAAAUCUUAGAGCUUAACUCUAAAACUGCCAUUGAUACUGCUUAGCUUGAAUCAAGUUGAGGUGGAUGGAAUAUUACAUGUAGCGGUGAAAUGCUUAGAUAUGUAAUAGAACACCGAUUGCGAAGGCAGUUCACUAAGCUUGUAUUGACACUGAGGCACGAAAGCGUGGGGAUCAAACAGG